AUGUUUUCAUUCACAUCGAUGGGAGGAGCUGUGGACAAGGAAAUAAACACUCGCAAAGGACCUUAUGUUUUUCGUUUGCAUGGACAAAACUACCACCAUAUCGGAACUCUUUUGCCUCAAGGUACAGACAAACCUCGGUUUGCACAGCUAUACAUCUGUAAUACCAAAAAUGAGGUGGAAAACAGGAUAAGUGCGUCAAGAUGCAAUGAUAAAAAAUCAACAGUGGACCCCAACAUCGUCAAAGAACUGAAAAUAAUGCUCGACGACAACAACAUCCUCGCAAAAACCUUCAGAAUGGCAAGAGAUAGAUUCCAAGAAGGAGACUACCAUGAUUACACACUUCGGAUACUAGGCAAAAGGAAUGGAACACACAACCUUCCAUCCGCAUCUGAAGUUGCAGCAUUGGUAGUAAGAGAUCCAACCAGAGAGAGUGAAGGACGUGACAUUGUUGUUGAGUACAAAAAUAUGGAGCUGCAAAGGAUAUCAGAGAUCCACCCGAAAUUCAUGUCCAUGCAAUAUCCGUUGUUGUUCCCAUAUGGAGAAGAUGGUUUUAAACUUGAGAUACCCUACAAGAAAACAAAAGGAGGUACAAACAGCAGGAAAUACGUAACGUUGUUGGACUACUAUGCAUUCUACCUAUAG
rnacentral:rRNA from 1 species